rnacentral:rRNA from 1 species
GAUCCUGGCUCAGGACGAACGCUGGCGGCGUGCCUAACACAUGCAAGUCGAGCGGGAAAUUCCGAAAUGAGGCUUCGGCGGAUUUUCGGAAUGGAUAGCGGCGGACGGGUGAGUAACGUGUGAGUAACCUGCCUUUGAGAGGGGGAUAACACACCGAAAGGUGUGCUAAUACCGCAUAACAUAUGUUUUUCGCAUGGAGAGCAUAUCAAAGAUUUAUCGCUCAAAGAUGGACUCGC